rnacentral:rRNA from 1 species
AUGGCACUGGUAGCCCUCCUCGUCCUGGCAGCCUCACUGGCCUGGCCGGCGUCGAGCCAGCGUCUGCCGGUGCUUGUUCCGGUGACCAAGGACCCCGCCACCUCCCUCUACACGCUCCCGUUCCACAACGGCGCCAACCUCGUCGUCGACAUCGCCGGCCCGCUCGUCUGGUCCACGUGCCAGCCCGGCCAUCUGCCGGCCAAGUUCCCCUGCACGUUCCCCACCUGCCGCCUUGCCAACGCCUACCCCGUCCCCGGCUGCCACGAGCCAGGCUGUGAGCAGGAGAGGCGCAAGGACGGCACGUGCACGGCGUACACGUACAACCCGGUCACCGGCGUGUGCGCCUCCGGGAGCCUCGACCGUACCAGGUUCGUGGCCAACACCACCGACGGGAGUAACCCGGUGAGCCAGGUGAACGUCAUGGCAGUGGCGGCGUGCGCGCCGGAGACGCUGCUGGCGUCCCUGCCCCGUGGCUCCACGGGCGUGGCCGGGCUCGCGGGUUCCGGCCUGGCGCUGCCGGCGCAGGUGGCGUCCGCGCAGAAGGUCGCCAACAAGUUCCUGCUCUGCCUCCCCCGCGGCGGCGACGGCGUGGCCAUCUUCGGCGGCGGCCCGCUCCACAUCCACUCGCAAUCGGAGGUCGACUGGACGCAGUCGCUGGAUUACACGCCGCUGGUCCAAAGGAAUGGCAACCCGGCGUACAGCGUCUUGGUCAAGUCCAUCACCAUGGACAACACGCGUGUGUCAGUCCCGGACAGCGCGCUCGCCACCGGCGGUGUGCUGCUCAGCACGACGGUGCCCUACACCUCGCUACGCCGCGAUGUGUACCGCCCGUUCGUGGACGCGUUCGCCAAGGCCGUAGUGGCGCAGAGUCAGCACGGCUGGCCCGUGGCGCGCGUGGUGAAGCCCGUGGCUCCGUUCGAGCUGUGCUACGAUUCAGGGACGCUGAUCAGCGGGCGGGGCGGCUAUUUCGUGCCGGGCGUGACGUUGACGCUGGACGGCGGGAAGAACUGGACGAUGUUCGGGGGUGGCUCGAUGCUGAACGUGGAGCCGGGGACAGCGUGCCUUGCGUUCGUGGAGAUGAAGGGAGUGAAGGCCGGAGACGGCAGGGCGCCGGCGGUGCUCAUCGGAGGGUUCCAGAUGGAGAACUUCCUGCUGGAGUUCGACAUGGAGAAGAAUCAGCUCGGGUUCUUCAGGCUGCCGUUCUACGCGCCCUGCGGCCAAUAA